GACAGAGGUGCCAAGCGUUAGGCGGAAUCACUGGGCUUAAAGCGUGUGUAGGCGGAUCGUUAAGUGCUUUGUGGAAUCCCACAGCUCAACUGUGGAACUGCUUGGCAUACUGGCGAUCUUGAGCCAUCUAGGGGUUGCUGGAACAAACGGUGGAGCGGUGAAAUGCGUAGAUAUCGUUUGGAACGCCAAUGGUGAAAACAGGCAACUGGGGAUGUGCUGACGCUGAGACACGAAAGCCAGGGGAGCAAACGGG
rnacentral:rRNA from 1 species